CCUACGGGCGGCAGCAGUGGGGAAUAUUGGACAAUGGGGGGAACCCUGAUCCAGCCAUGCCGCGUGUGUGAAGAAGGCCCUCGGGUUGUAAAGCACUUUCAGUGAGGAAGAACGCCUGGUGGUUAAUACCCAUCAGGAAAGACAUCACUCACAGAAGAAGCACCGGCUAACUCCGUGCCAGCAGCCGCGGUAAUACGGAGGGUGCGAGCGUUAAUCGGAAUUACUGGGCGUAAAGCGCGCGUAGGUGGCUUGAUAAGCCGGUUGUGAAAGCCCCGGGCUCAACCUGGGAACGGCAUCCGGAACUGUCAAGCUAGAGUGCAGGAGAGGAAGGUAGAAUUCCCGGUGUAGCGGUGAAAUGCGUAGAGAUCGGGAGGAAUACCAGUGGCGAAGGCGGCCUUCUGGACUGACAUUGACACUGAGGUGCGAAAGCGUGGGUAGCAAACAGGAUUAGAUACCCCGGUAGUC
rnacentral:rRNA from 1 species